rnacentral:rRNA from 1 species
GAGGAUUGACAGGUAUUAUAUAGCGCGCUUGCGCGUCUAUUGUUAAAUAUGCUAGUCCUUUCAUGAUUAUGUGAUAGGUGGUGCAUGGCCGUUCUUAGUUCGUGGAGUGAUCUGUCUGCUUAAUUGCGUUUCAGAUAAGGAUCUAUAUUCUUUACAGAAGUGUUGCGUAGUGCAUUUGACCCCUCGUUCGCGAGUGCGUGUCUUUUCGCGCUCGCACGCUUUUUACAUUAGGUCCUGAAAGCAACGAACGUGACCGCAACCUCUUGUUGCCUCAUCUCCCUACUUUUUAGCACUUCGGUGUUAAUAAUUUCAUUGAGGCUUUCCAAAACUAGAGGGACCGCUGUCAACUUCUUAAACCAGAGGAAGGUUGCGGCAAUAACAGGUCUGUGAUGCCCUUAGAUGUUCCGGGCUGCACACGUGCUACAAUGAUUGUUGCAGUGAGCAUCUCAAUUUUUUACCUAACACCGCACACGUGAGUGCAUACUUGUAUGUUACUUUACGCAGCGGUAAAGCCUGCUUCGAGAGCAAGUGGGUAAUCAAUUAGAAGUAACGAUUUCCCAAAUUAGCACACUUAUAUGCGGCGUUUGCGCCCGGGUACCACUUGUUGGUACUUCUGUGCGUGCAGAUGUUUUUUCCGCAUGUGCAAUUGUCAAUUCAUGGUGGGGGACAGACCAUUGUUAAUUGUUGGUCUCGGUCUUAACUAGGAAUGCCUUGUACGGGUCUUUGGUUCAACAAACCACCCGGGAAUACGUCCCUGCCCUUUGUACACACCGCCCGUCGCUCUUACCGAUGGACUUCUCUGUGA